UACGUAGGGUCCGAGCGUUGUCCGGAGUUACUGGGCGUAAAGCGCACGUAGGCGGCUUGGCAAGUCGGAUGUGAAAUCCCUCGGCUCAACCAAGGAAGUGCAUCCGAAACUGCUGAGCUUGAGUACGAAAGAGGAUCGCGGAAUUCCCGGUGUAGAGGUGAAAUUCGUAGAUAUCGGGAGGAACACCAGUGGCGAAGGCGGCGAUCUGGGUCGAUACUGACGCUGAGGUGCGAAAGCGUGGGGAGCAAACAGG
rnacentral:rRNA from 1 species